rnacentral:rRNA from 1 species
GACGAACGCUGGCGGCGUGCUUAACACAUGCAAGUCGAACGCGCCUGUCCUCUGGGUUUCUGGGGGGUGGGUGAGUGGCGCACGGGUGAGUAACACGUGAGUAACCUGCCCCCUUCUUCGGGAUAACGGUCUGAAAGGGCUGCUAAUACCGGGUAUUCACUGGUCUCCGCAUGGGGUCUGGUGGAAAGGUUUUUUUCUGGUGGGGGAUGGGCUCGCGGCCUAUCAGCUUGUUGGUGGGGUGAUGGCCCACCAAGGCUUUGACGGGUAGCCGGCCUGAGAGGGUGACCGGUCACAUUGGGACUGAGAUACGGCCCAGACUCCUACGGGAGGCAGCAGUGGGGAAUAUUGCACAAUGGGCGCAAGCCUGAUGCAGCGACGCCGCGUGAGGGAUGGAGGCCUUCGGGUUGUGAACCUCUUUCGCCCGUGGUCAAGCCGCGACGUGGGUCGUGGUGAGGGUAGUGGGUAAAGAAGCGCCGGCUAACUACGU